rnacentral:rRNA from 1 species
AUUGAACGCUGGCGGAAUGCUUUACACAUGCAAGUCGAACGGCAGCACGGACUUCGGUCUGGUGGCGAGUGGCGAACGGGUGAGUAACAUAUCGGAACGUAUCCAAUAAUGGGGGAUAACUAAUCGAAAGGUUGGCUAAUACCGCAUACGUCCUACGGGAGAAAGCUAGGGACCUUCGGGCCUGGCGUUAAUGGAGCGGCCGAUAUCGGAUUAGCUAGUUGGUGAGGUAAAAGCUCACCAAGGCGACGAUCCGUAGCUGGUCUGAGAGGACGACCAGCCACACUGGAACUGAGACACGGUCCAGACUCCUACGGGAGGCAGCAGUGGGGAAUUUUGGACAAUGGGCGCAAGCCUGAUCCAGCCAUUCCGCGUGAGUGAAGAAGGCCUUCGGGUUGUAAAGCUCUUUCGCAAGGGAAGAAAACUUACCCUCUAACAUAGGGUGAGGUUGACGGUACCUUGAUAAGAAGCACCGGCUAACUACGUGCCAGCAGCCGCAGUAAGAC